GACGAACCGUGCGAACGUUAUUCGGAAUCACUGGGCUUAAAGCGCGUGUAGGCGGAUGAGCACGUCGGUCGCUGAAAUCCCCCGGCUCAACCGGGGAACGGGCGCGGAUACGGCUCGUCUCGAGGGGCGUAGGGGGACCUGGAACUUCCGGUGGAGCGGUGAAAUGCGUUGAGAUCGGAAGGAAGACCAGUGGCGAAGGCGGGUCUCUGGACAGUUCCUGACGCUGAGGCACGAAGGUCAGGGGAGCAAACGGG
rnacentral:rRNA from 1 species